rnacentral:rRNA from 1 species
AGAGUUUGAUCAUGGCUCAGAACGAACGCUGGCGGCAUGCCUCAUACAUGCAAGUCGAACGAAAUCUUCGGAUUUAGUGGCGCACGGGUGAGUAACAUGUGGGAAUCUACCUGAAGGUUCGGAAUAACUGCGGGAAACUGUAGCUAAUACCGGAUGUGUCUGCAAAGAGAAAGAUUUAUCGCCUUCAGAUGAGCCCGCACUAGAUUAGCUAGUUGGUGAGGUAACUGCUCCACCAAGGCUACGAUCUAUAGCUGAUUUGAGAGGAUGAUCAGCCACACUGGGACUGAGACACGGCCCAGACUCCUACGGGAGGCAGCAGUAGGGAAUAUUGGACAAUGGGGGAAACCCUGAUCCAGCAAUGCCGCGUGAGUGAAGAAGGCCCUCGGGUUGUAAAACUCUUUCAUCAAUGAUGAUAAUGACAUUAGUUGAAGAAGAAGCUCCGGCUAACUUCGUGCCAGCAGCCGCGGUAAUACGAAGGGGGCUAGCGUUGUUCGGAAUCACUGGGCGUAAAGCGUAUGUAGGCGGAUCAAAAAGUUAGAUGUGAAAUCCCUGGGCUCAACCCAGGAACUGCAUUUAAAACUAGUGAUCUAGAAAUUGGUAAAGGUUAGUAGAAUUUCCAGUGUAGAGGUGAAAUUCGUAGAUAUUGGAAAGAAUACCAGAAGCGAAGGCGACUAACUAGGCCAUUUUUGACGCUGAGAUACGAAAGCGUGGGUAGCAAACAGGAUUAGAUACCCUGGUAGUCCACGCAGUAAACGAUGAGUGCUAGUCGCUGGGACAAUAGUUUCAGUGUCGAAGCUAACGCAUUAAGCACUCCGCCUGGGAAGUACGGUCGCAAGAUUAAAACUCAAAUAAAUUGACGGGGGCCCGCACAAGCGGUGGAGC